UAACCUCUUUGAGGAAAUGAGUCUAGGUUUUUGGUUUUAUAUAUAUAUAGUGAAACCUUGGGAAGCAUGCACUAAAAGAAAAAAAAACCUUCAUUCUUCUCUUUCUUCAUCGUGCAGCCAGACCCCACUCCCCAAUCUCUUCCUCUUCUAGCUACGUGAAGCCACCCACAGUCAGCCCAGUCGUCGUCACCGUUUAGCCCAGCCACCGACGCCCAGGUUCACGACAACAAUCAUCGCCAUUCAGCCCAGCCACCGAUGCUCGAGUUCGUGCCAGUCACUACACGUCUUCGUUUGACGUCCAGUCGUACGCCUUCGCUUCCUCCAUUCAUCGUCGACGCCCCCUUCAUUUCGCUACGUCCUCGAUCUAGCCUAAGUGCCUAUUCACCAAGCUGAUGCAGACAACCCUGUCUAUCAUCGAAUCGUGAUCAGUUUGUCGGUUUUUGUCGUUUCGGAUAGACUUUGGACGUUUUGGGUCUAUUCUUGUUUGAUGCCUUAGUACCUAGUUAAUUGCUAGUCUGAUUUGAGUUAUACCCAUAAUGUUUUGAAGCUCGAACAAAGUUUCGAGGAAUUUUUCAACGUUAUCCAGCAGCUUUAACAAUGAGCUUUGGGCUUUUUCGGCAUACUUUGUGGAUAAGGAGGUUGAUCUUGGCGAUUCUUGAUACUUCCAGUUUGGUCAUCUUAACUGAAGGUUGGAAUUGGGUUUGGAAUAAACCCCGCAUUGGGGAUUUAAUUCAAAAUCUAAGCUAGCCUAAGGGGAAGAUUGAAGGAAAUCAGACACGAGGAUUUCCAUGAGCAGCGGAAGGAUCUUUCCAAAUUUCAAUCGUAUAUGAACAUUACAAUUACAAUCACAAAUGGAAACAUACAGUUAUGCAUAAAACAGAAAUUACAGCAUGCUACACGAUCAAGAGAUAGGAAUAACAAACCUUUGAAGACUCAUCUUCAAGUUCCUUGAUCACGAACGCUUAAUCACAAUGACACGGCAACAUAUGAACAUUUAUCCAACAUGACCGUUACACUGCACGAUCACAGCGAAUCGAACAAGGCAAUCACCAAGGUCACGAACAUUGAAAACACUGCAAACGGCCUCCACAGAAUCUUGGUUGUGUCGAGUUGAGUAAGACACCACCAAUAAGGUUA